rnacentral:tRNA from 1 species
GUGAUCAAGUUUGGUAAACAGGUAGCCGUAGGGGAACCUGCGGCUGGAUCACCUCCUUAAUCGACGACAUCAGCUGCUUCAUAAGCUCCCACACGAAUUGCUUGAUUCAUUGAAGAAGACGAUAGAAGCAGCUUUAAGCUCCAAGCUGAUAGCUCCAAGCUAACAGUUACAAGCUCGAAAUUGGGUCUGUAGCUCAGUUGGUUAGAGCGCACCCCUGAUAAGGGUGAGGUCGGCAGUUCGAAUCUGCCCAGACCCACCAAUUUUGUUAUGGGGCCAUAGCUCAGCUGGGAGAGCGCCUGCCUUGCACGCAGGAGGUCAGCGGUUCGAUCCCGCUUGGCUCCACCAUAAACUGCUUCUGAAAGCUUAGAAAUGAGCAUUCACAUUGAAUGUUGAUUUCUAGUCUUUUGAUUAGAUCGUUCUUUAAAAAUUUGGGUAUGUGAUAGAAAGAUAGACUGAACGUUACUUUCACUGGUAACGGAUCAGGCUAAGGUAAAAUUUGUGAGUUAAAUUGCAAAUUUUCGGCGAAUGUCGUCUUCAUAGUAUAACCAGAUUGCUUGGGGUUGAUAAAUAGGUGCGAC